GUACCUCAGUUGGUAGUAGUGCCCAACUUGUAUCUUGGAGGCUCUGCGGGUUCUAAUCCUUUCAAAGUGACACAAUGUCAGUCGACGAGAAACAGAUUAUUUGGUAGCACUAAUUGUCCGUGAUUCCUUUAAAGAACAACCUUUGGAACCAGUUGUAGAUGUUUCAAGUGGACGCAGUGCUCGUGAAAAACCCCCAAAAUGAAUUCAAGCUGUUGUGUCUAAGGCGGCUCGUAGAAGGGUAACAUGCCAUGUUUCUUCACAUGUCCAUUGAAGAGAAUCGUCUGGAAAGCUGACUCAAAAUGGCUCUUUAAACGUUCCAGUUUCGUCUUAUCACACAGAACACUGCUGAGUGCUGACCUCGCCUUUCAGUAAAGGAAGAAGCCUAACAGGCAACGGGCCCUUGAGGCUCUGACUGCUCCACGUGAUCGGCUGGGCCUGCACAGAAGGGAGGGAAGCAGUUCCAUGCCCUCUCUGGCAGACAUUAGGGGGUUUAAGAAAACCGCAACAGGAACGAGAACGUCACUAAAUAAAAGGUUUAAUGAGCAGAACAAUGGCUGUGCACGUGCGUUAAAAAUUUUUGUAAAUUUUUCUGCGUCUUCUGAAAAACAACGGUGAAACGUAGGCUAGGGUUCGCUACAUCGAAAACCUCGAUUAAACGAAUUUGCGGGAAAAAAACCAAAAUGUUCGUUAUAUCGAGCAUUAAUAGUUUUUUUGGAUCGGAACGAUUAUUGUAAAUAAAAUUUGUGCUUUAAUGUCUAUAUGAAGCUACGAUAGGCUGUACAGGUCUGUGCAUAACUACAGCACCCUGUUUUUAAAGCACGGAGGACAAAUCUCAUUGGAAGUCACUGGCAAACGGAGAAACAAGGGUAGUGGACAGGAAAUUCCUGCCUCUGAUACCUUUAACUGCAAGAAGCCUUCAAAAGAAAAGAGGUUAAAUUCAACUAAUUAGACCUAAUAAGAGACAAGGAGGACAAAGCGGAUCUGUAGAUGUGUCAAUAGUGUCAGUGUCGGCAUUUGUGGGAUUUAUGAUAAUCAUAAAUCUCGUUCUUUUGUCAUUGCGUCAGUGGCCAUCUCAGAAUUUCCAAUUAUACAGACGCAAAUGCAGUAGCCAUUAAGUCCUUGCGUCACUGGCUUUAAUUUAUUAUGGUUGGUAAUAAUAUAUACCAGAGCUCGAAAGCUCAUUGGCUACUUUGGUCACUGUACACGAUUAAAUAUUCUUUCUUCUAGCUAAUUUCUGUUUGUAUUUUUUCUAUAUCAUUGUAAAUCAUGUUAAGUUAUUUUUUCUGUAAAUAGUGUGAACAAAUAAUAAAGUAUGAAAAAGUG